CCGCUCACUGCGCUUCGUAAGUGGAAAGUGUCCUUCCUCUUUCGUCUUUCCCCCGCUGUACGAUGUAGCAGGCAUUUUUUGUGCUUUAUCGCGUUAGCGUGCGGGAAGGAGGAGUCGAGAGCCAAAAAGAGAAGAGUCACCAGUGCCAAGUGCUGUGCCCAAUCAAUACACGAUAUGGCCAUCCGCCACAUACCGCUCCAUACUCCAUUGUCACUCGCCAUCAUCCAUAAACAACGCACAGCUCCUGGCCAUCCUUCAUCCACCGCCCGUCCCUCGCAGACAAAGGAUGUUUGAGAAGAUGAAGAGGCAAAGGAAAAAAAAAACGUUGAAAAGUCGGGAAAGGAGAUGUGAAGCAUGAUGAUCAUUUUCGGAGAUCCGGUUGUCGGUGGAAUUUGAGGGUGGACUGGAGUUGAUCGACACAAGCGACAAUUAAACAACGCGCCCUUUUUGCUUUGUUGUUGUUCGUUUCUUCUCGCCGUUUCCUCUUUGUUCCAUCUUCAUCUCUGUCUGGAAGUGAGCGCUGGGUGCUGGCAUUCCCUUAUCCAGCCCACCUCCUACCAGUUCUUCUCCAUCUUAACAUAGCUGCCAUGCUCUAUGCUAUAUUAUAAACGUCUGCGCCACUCUAAUAGCCAUACAUGAAUAACGAGAAGACUGUGCUAGCAGACAAAU
rnacentral:sRNA from 1 species